AACAAAACCAGGGGGAAAGAAAAUGGCAUGAGCAUCUAGGAGUGGACACUGGGACGGACGACACGCGACACAGGACCCGGCCAUGAAAGCGACACGGAACAUGCAUGCAUGCUAGCUGCAGAGCCAGCAGGGGGGUCAUGAGCCGCAUCGAUGAUUAAUUAGCCCGUGCCUGUGGGCACUGCAAAGCUAGCCCGUGAUCGAUCAAGCCUGCUCCCACUCUUCUAAUUGUUUUUUUUUUUUUGCCGGUGUCGUGUCGUGAGAUCGCGGUGCAUCACGGCCAAACUGACAUACACCAAAAACCCAAAAUUUUACAAGAUUCUUCGUCACAUCAGAUCUUACGACACAUACAUAAAGUAUUAAAUAUAGAUAAAAAGAAUAACUAAUUACAUAGUUUAUCUGUAAAUCACAAGAUGAUUUUUUAAGCCUAGUUACUCCAUAAUUAGACAAUAUUUGUCAAAUAAAAAUAAAAAUACUACAAUAUUAAAAUCUAAAAACUUUUUUAUACACCAAAAACCUAAAAUUUUACAAGAUUCUUCGUCACAUCAGAUCUUACGGCACAUACAUAAAGUAUUAAAUAUAGAUAAAAAGAAUAACUAAUUACAUAGUUUAUCUGUAAAUCACAAGAUGAUUUUUUUAAGUCUAGUUACUCCAUAAUUAGACAAUAUUUGUCAAAUAAAAAUAAAAAUACUACAAUAUUAAAAUCUAAAACUUUUUUAUACACCAAAAACCUAAAAUUUUACAAGAUUCUUCGUCACAUCAGAUCUUACGGCACAUACAUAAAGUAUUAAAUAUAGAUAAAAAGAAUAACUAAUUACAUAGUUUAUCUGUAAAUCACAAGAUGAUUUUUUUAAGCCUAGUUACUC
rnacentral:lncRNA from 1 species